GUACGGGAGGCAGCAGUGAGGAAUAUUGGUCAAUGGGCGCAAGCCUGAACCAGCCAUCCCGCGUGAAGGAUGAAGGUCCUAUGGAUUGUAAACUUCUUUUAUACACCAAGAAAAACACCCACGUGUGGGUGCCCGACGGUAGUGUAUGAAUAAGCAUCGGCUAACUCCGUGCCAGCAGCCGCGGUAAUACGGAGGAUGCAAGCGUUAUCCGGAUUCAUUGGGUUUAAAGGGUGCGUAGGCGGCUCUUUAAGUCAGUGGUGAAAUCCUGCCGCUUAACGGUAGAAUUGCCAUUGAUACUGAAGAGCUUGAGUACAGUUGAGGUAGGCGGAAUGUGUAGUGUAGCGGUGAAAUGCUUAGAUAUUACACAGAACACCGAUUGCGAAGGCAGCUUACUAAACUGUUACUGACGCUGAUGCACGAAAGCGUGGGGAGCGAACAGGAUUAGAUACCCCGGUAGUCCG
rnacentral:rRNA from 1 species